rnacentral:rRNA from 1 species
AAAACGACUCUCGGCAACGGAUAUCUCGGCUCUCGCAUCGAUGAAGAACGUAGCGAAAUGCGAUACUUGGUGUGAAUUGCAGAAUCCCGUGAACCAUCGAGUCUUUGAACGCAAGUUGCGCCCCAAGCCGUUAGGCCGAGGGCACGCCUGCCUGGGUGUCACGU